UGGGGAAUCUUGCACAAUGGGGGCAACCCUGAUGCAGCGACGCCGCGUGAGCGAUGAAGCCCUUCGGGGCGUAAAGCUCUUUCGACCGGAACGAUAAUGACGGUACCGGGAGAAGAAGCUGCGGCUAACUACGUGCCAGCAGCCGCGGUAAUACGUAGGCAGCAAGCGUUGUUCGGCGUUACUGGGCGUAAAGAGUGAAUAGGCGGUUUUCUAAGUUCGGUGUGAAAUCUCCCGGCUUAACUGGGAGGGUGCGCCGAAGACUGGGAAGCUGGAGUGUGGGAAAGGCAGGCGGAAUUCCUGGUGUAGCGGUGAAAUGCGUAGAUAUCAGGAGGAACACCGGCGGUGUAGACGGCUUGCUAGACCAUAACUGACGCAGAGGCACGAAAGCGUGGGUAGCAAACA
rnacentral:rRNA from 1 species